CCCCCCCUCCCCCCAGACCCCAACAUCUGCGGGAAGGUAGAAUCCUGUCUUUGGGCCUGGCUGGCUAGCAAAGCCAGAUGGCCUCAUCCGAUUGGUCUGGAGCCCCCGCGGGCCCCCUCUCCUUCCUCUAAGACGCCCGCCACCCCUGCGCAAAUUAGAACGGGGCUGCUCUUUCCUGACUGCAGCCGGCUCGGAAUGGAAAUGUUUUCACCGCCUUAAUGUCCCGCUUUAUCUUCGUGUUAACUGAAAAAUCACAGGAUCUAUAAAUUGGAAAAGCAGAUUCCAUUUCUGGCCACGGGAGGGCUGGGAGACCUGUGAGGGCGGCCCUCACACGUGUGCCGGGAACACACACACACGUGACCAGUGACGGACGCUCACCUUGGGCUGAGGCUUCACACGUGACUGUAUCCAGCUGAGUCUUUCCAGGACGCAAAGGUGCGCAGGCCCACAGCCUGGGUGGCUCGGCCAGGACCAGCCCACGGCCGCGGUCUCUCAUCGGGAGGAAGCUCCGGAAGUCAGUGCCCUGUCAAGUGAAGGCUGCCGCCGCGGCUGGUGAAGCAGCGGGUGGGAGAGGUCGCCUCUGUGAGCUAGGGAGCGAUGGUCUGAACUGCUUGGCUGGAGGCCGGAGCUUGUUUAGCUGCUGGAGAAAAAGGCUGGUUUAUUCUUUAAGUGUAGGGUGCUGACUUCACUCUUAGAUCUGCUUUGUAAUUUGUCACUUUAUUGCCACAAGACUCCAUCCUGUCUCUGUGUUUUUAAAAAAAUUCUCUAAACCUCA